rnacentral:rRNA from 1 species
UGGUUAAUUCGAUGAUACGCGAGGAACUUACCUGGGCUCGAACGUAAGAUGACUGUAGGUGAAAGCUUACAUCUCUUCGGAGCAUUUUACGAGGUACUGCAUGGUUGUCGUCAGCUCGUGCCGUGAGGUGUCGGGUUAAGUCCCAUAACGAGCGCAACCCUACCUUUAGUUGCCAUCAGGUAAUGCUGGGGACUCUAAAGGAACUGCCUACGCAAGUAGUGAGGAAGGCGGGGAUGACGUCAAAUCAGCACGGCCCUUACGUCCAGGGCUACACACGUGCUACAAUGGCCGAUACAGAGGGCAGCUACCUGGUGACAGGAUGCAAAUCUCCAAAGUCGGUCUCAGUUCGGAUCGGAGUCUGCAACCCGACUCCGUGAAGUUGGAUUCGCUAGUAAUCGCGCAUCAGCCAUGGCGCGGUGAAUACGUUCCCGGGCCUU